GGGAGGCAGCAGUGGGGAAUUCUGCACAAAGGGUGAAAGCCUGAUGCAGCCAUGCCGCGCGUACGAAGAAGGCCUUCGGGAUGUAUAGUAAUUUCAGUUGUGCGGAAGGGAGUGUAGUUAACUGUCGCAUAUCAUGCGGUUAGCAACAGCAGAAGCACUUCCUAGGUUCGUGCCAGCGGCUUCGUUUAUAAUGAGGGAGCGAGCGUUGAUCGGAUUUACUGGGCGUAAAUUAGAUGAAGGUGGUUCACCUAGUUAUUUGUGAGGGCGGGGGGCUCGACUUAGGAGGUGCAUUUUUAAUUGGUGAAGUAGAGGGAUAUAGAGGGGAAUAGAAUUCCU
rnacentral:rRNA from 1 species